AAAGGUGCCCAAUACCAACAUGAGCAGCGGUCCUCAAGAAGUCACCAAAAGCGCGCUGCUGCAGCUCUGUGUUGGACUGCAUCGACGCUUCGGGGGAUGUUGUCCUCGGGUGACCCAGAAGCAGUUAUGAACAAGAGCGACAAGGCGGACGCCAAACUAGCGACCGAUUUGCUGCUGGGUAGCAGUGACGUCCUGUUGCUUCUCAUGGCGAGUGUCGUCCUGGCCGUGUUCGUGCAACUCAUCGGGCUGGUCGUGUUGUGCGUCCGUUACAGGCAGUCUUCUGCGGACGAACAGCCUGA